GGUUUUGUGGUGUAGUUGGUUAUCACGUUCGCCUCACAUUCAACUGAAUCUGAACGCGAAAGGUCCCGAGUUCGAACCUCGGCGAAAUCA
rnacentral:tRNA from 1 species